rnacentral:rRNA from 1 species
GGGUGAGUAAUGCCUGGGGAUCUGCCCGAUAGAGGGGGAUAACUACGGGAAACUGUAGCUAAUACCGCAUAACGUCUACGGACCAAAGUGGGGGCUCUUCGGACCUCAUGCUAUCGGAUGAACCCAGGUGGGAUUAGCUAGUUGGUGAGGUAAUGGCUCACCAAGGCGACGAUCUCUAACUGGUUUGAGAGAAUGACCAGUCACACUGGAACUGAGACACGGUCCAGACUCCUACGGGAGGCAGCAGUGGGGAAUAUUGCACAAUGGGCGCAAGCCUGAUGCAGCCAUGCCGCGUGUGUGAAGAAGGCCUUCGGGUUGUAAAGCACUUUCAGCGGGGAGGAAGGGUCACUAGUUAAUACCUAGUGGCAUUGACGUUACUCGCAGAAGAAGCACCGGCUAACUCCGUGCCAGCAGCCGCGGUAAUACGGAGGGUGCAAGCGUUAAUCGGAAUUACUGGGCGUAAAGCGCACGCAGGCGGUUUGUUAAGUCAGAUGUGAAAUCCCCCGAGCUCAACUUGGGAACUGCAUUUGAAACUGGCAAGCUAGAGUCUUGUAGAGGGGGGUAGAAUUCCAGGUGUAGCGGUGAAAUGCGUAGAGAUCUGGAGGAAUACCGGUGGCGAAGGCGGCCCCCUGGACAAAGACUGACGCUCAGGUGCGAAAGCGUGGGGAGCAAACCAGGAUUAGAUACCCUGGUAGUCCACGCUGUAAAACGAUGUCGAUUUGGGAGGUUGUGCCCUUGAGGCGUGGCUUCCGGAGCUAACGCGUUAAAUCGACCGCCUGGGGAGUACGGCCGCAAGGUUAAAACUCAAAUGAAUUGACGGGGGCCCGCACAAGCGGUGGAGCAUGUGGUUUAAUUCGAUGCAACGCGAAGAACCUUACCUACUCUUGACAUCCAGAGAACUUUCCAGAGAUGGAUGGGUGCCUUCGGGAACUCUGAGACAGGUGCUGCAUGGCUGUCGUCAGCUCGUGUUGUGAAAU